GAUGAACGCUAUCUACAGGCUUAACACAUGCAAGUCGAGGGGCAGCAUGUCGGUUGCUUGCAACCGAUGAUGGCGACCGGCGCACGGGUGAGUAACGCGUAUCCAACCUACCCUUGUCCAUCGGAUAACCCGUCGAAAGGCGGCCUAACACGAUAUGCGGUUCUCAGCAGGCAUCUAACGAGAACGAAAUGUGAAGGAGAAGGAUGGGGAUGCGUCUGAUUAGCUUGUUGGCGGGGUAACGGCCCACCGAGGCGACGAUCAGUAGGGGUUCUGAGAGGAAGGUCCCCCACAUUGGAACUGAGACACGGUCCAAACUCCUACGGGAGGCAGCAGUGAGGAAUAUUGGUCAAUGGACGGGAGUCUGAACCAGCCAAGUAGCGUGCAGGACGACGGCCCUAUGGGUUGUAAACUGCUUUUAUAGGGGGAUAAAGUGUGCCACGUGUGGCAUAUUGCAGGUACCCUAUGAAUAAGGACCGGCUAAUUCCGUGCCAGCAGCCGCGGUAAUACGGAAGGUCCGGGCGUUAUCCGGAUUUAUUGGGUUUAAAGGGAGCGUAGGCCGUCUUAUAAGCGUGUUGUGAAAUGUCGGGGCUCAACCUGGGCAUUGCAGCGCGAACUGUGAGACUUGAGUGCGCAGGAAGUAGGCGGAAUUCGUCGUGUAGCGGUGAAAUGCUUAGAUAUGACGAAGAACUCCGAUUGCGAAGGCAGCCUGCUGUAGCGCAACUGACGCUGAAGCUCGAAAGCGUGGGUAUCGAACAGG
rnacentral:rRNA from 1 species